UAGGCUUAAGAGUUAGGUAAAUCCGGCUCUUUUUAAGGCUGAGACACGACGUCGAGCACCUACGGGUGUGAAGUCAUUGAUGCCAUGCUUCCAGGAAAAGCCUCUAAGCUUCAGAUUGUAAGGAAUCGUACCCCAAACCGACACAGGUGGUCGGGUAGAGAAUACCAAGGCGCUUGAGAGAACUCGGGUGAAGGAACUAGGCAAAAUGGUACCGUAACUUCGGGAGAAGGUACGCUCUUGACGGUGAAGUCCCUCGCGGAUGGAGCUGACGAGAGUCGCAGAUACCAGGUGGCUGCAACUGUUUAUUAAAAA
rnacentral:rRNA from 1 species